rnacentral:rRNA from 1 species
CUGCGAAUGGCUCGGUAAAACAGCUAUAGUUUCUUCGAUGUUACAUACUACUCGGAUACCCGUAGUAAAUCUAGAGCUAAUACGUGCCACAUAACGGCUUCGGCCGUGGUAUAAAUUGGAGAUACAAACCAAUGUUUGGUGAUUCACAAUUUCUUUUCUGAUUGCACUUUUGUGCGACACAUCGUUCAAAUUUCUGACCUAUCAACUUUGGAUGGUAAGGUAUUGUCUUACCAUGGUUGUGACGGGUAACGGACCGUGGGUGCGGGAUUCCGGAGAGGGAGCCUGAGAAACGGCUACCACUUCCAAGGAAGGCAGCAGGCGCGCAAAUUACCCAAUCCGGACACCGGGAGGUAGUGACAAGAAAUAUCAAUAGAGGGCCCGAUGGGUUUUCUAAUUGGAAUGAGAACAAGGUAAACAUCUUAUC